rnacentral:rRNA from 1 species
CCUACGGGUGGCAGCAGUGAGGAAUAUUGGUCAAGGACGAGAGUCCGAACCAGCCAAGUAGCGUGAAGGAUGACCGCCCUUUGGGUUGUAAACCUCUUUUAUAUUGGAAUAAAACAGGGUAUGCAUACCCUCUUGUAUGUACCAUAUGAAUAAAGAUCGGCUAACUCCGUGGCAGCAGCCGCGGUAAUACGGAGGGUCCGAGUGUUAUCCGGAUUUAUUGGGGUUAAAGGGAGCGUAGGUGGAUUGUUAAGUCAGUUGGUAAAGUUUGCGGGUUAACCGUAAAAUUGCAGUUGAAACUGGCAGUCUUGAGUACAGUAGAGGUGGGCGGAAUUCGUGGUGUAGCGGUGAAAUGCUUAGAUAUCACGAAGAACUCCGAUUGCGAAGGCAGCUCACUGGACUGCAACUGACACUGAUGCUCGAAAGUGUGGGUAUCAAACAGGAUUAGAUACCCGAGUAGUC